rnacentral:rRNA from 1 species
GAUUAACGCUGGCGGCGUGCAUAACACAUGCAAGUCGAACGAUGAAACUUUACUGACUUCUUCGGAAUGAUUUAAAGCGGAUUAGUGGCGAACGGGUGAGUAACGCGUGAGUAACCUGCCUUACACAAGGGGAUAGCCUCUGGAAACGGAGAAUAAUACCCUAUGAAACCAGACAAUCGCAUGAUAAUCUGGUCAAAAUGUUUAGUGGUGUAAGAUGGACUUGCGUCUGAUUAGCUAGUUGGUGAGAUAAAAGCUCACCAAGGCAACGAUCAGUAGCCGGCUUGAGAGAGUGUACGGCCACAUUGGGACUGAGACACGGCCCAGACUCCUACGGGAGGCAGCAGUGGGGAAUUUUGCACAAUGGGGGAAACCCUGAUGCAGCGACGCCGCGUGAUUGAGAAGGCCUUCGGGUUGUAAAAAUCUUUUGUAUAGGAAGAAAAUGACAGUACUAUACGAAUAAGGUCCGGCUAAUUACGUG